rnacentral:rRNA from 1 species
UACAGAGGUCCCAAGCGUUGUUCGGAUUCAUUGGGCGUAAAGGGUGCGUAGGCGGCGCGGUAAGUCGGGUGUGAAAUCUCGGAGCUUAACUCCGAAACUGCAUUCGAUACUGCCGUGCUUGAGGACUGGAGAGGAGACUGGAAUUUACGGUGUGGCGGUGAAAUGCGUAGAUAUCGUAAGGAAGACCAGUGGCGAAGGCGGGUCUCUGGACAGUUCCUGACGCUGAGGCACGAAGGCCAGGGGAGCAAACGGG